rnacentral:rRNA from 1 species
GUGAGGAAUAUUGGACAAUGGGCGCAAGCCUGAUCCAGCCAUGCCGCGUGCAGGAAGACGCAUCUAUGGUGUGUAAACUGCUUUUGUACGGGAAGAAACACUCCCUCGUGAGGGAGCUUGACGGUACCGUAAGAAUAAGGAUCGGCUAACUCCGUGCCAGCAGCCGCGGUAAUACGGAGGAUCCAAGCGUUAUCCGGAAUCAUUGGGUUUAAAGGGUCCGUAGGCAGUUUAAUAAGUCAGUGGUGAAAGCCCAUCGCUCAACGAUGGAACGGCCAUUGAUACUGUUAGACUUGAAUUACAAGGAAGUAACUAGAAUAUGUAGUGUAGCGGUGAAAUGCUUAGAUAUUACAUGGAAUACCAAUUGCGAAGGCAGGUUACUACUUGUGGAUUGACGCUGAUGGACGAAAGCGUGGGGAGCGAACAGGAUUAGAAACCCCGGUAGUCC